AGGAUUUGACCUUCAGCUGCAGCUUGUCAACCAGAUCCUGAAGACGAUGCAGAUUCUUCUUGUCCUCCUCAGUCUACAGAUAAAAAGUCUCCGUACAGGAUCCUGUUGGGGAAGCCCUUUCUGCAGAUUCUGAUGCCUUCCAGCACACCGUUACAGCGCAGCUGGUGCAUGACCAAUGGAUUUUCCAUGGCCCCAGGAGUCUUGGUCUCAUUGGGGAUGAUGCAGCGCACAAAGUGGGGGGCCCCUGACCACUGCAGCUGUUCCAGGAAAGAAGCUCCUCCUCUGGGUCCAUUGGCCAGCAGCCAACUUUGAGCUACUCUGAGGAGCCGGCAGUUCCUUUCAGCAGAUGGCCACUUCAUUGAGAAUAUGCCCAAGGAAGCAAAGGGAUGGCUCUGUGAUUCUUAAUCACUCCCCCCAGUUACGUAUGGAUUUAUUUCAUCUUGAAUGAGGAUUUUGUAGCUGAAUAAAAGACCCUGGUGAUAUUCAAUGGAAGAUGUGCGUUACUCGUCUGAAGUGGACACUCAGACGUCAUUACCUAUUUUCAGGUAUGUAAAUAGCUCUUUAUAAAAUGUGCACAGUGGGUAUAUUUGUUAAGGUAACAUUUUUGAAAAAACAUAGCUUUUGCUUUUUUACAUUUUGAGAGAGAGACAGAGACAGAGAUACAAAGAUUUCCAUUUAUUUUCAAUUGAAUUUGUUCCGUAGGUUGGUAAUUAUUCAGUCUGUAUUAUUUAUUUCUUCAGUAGCUUAUCAUAUAGUGCUUGCUUCCACUGCAGCAAGUUUUACUCUCCUUCUCCACAUGAAAACUUAAUUUUUAUUUUUGUAAUGUGAAUGUGUAGGCCUAGAGUUAUAGGCCCCUGUUGUUCACACACAGGCUAUCACUGUGGUAGGCUAUGAUUUUAGUAGGGUUUUCAUCUGGCAGACCUGGAAAAAAGAAAUAAGACAUAGUGGAGAAUGAAUUUGACUUCUCAAAUUUCUUCCUGAGAAUGGCAUUGAUGCCGCUGCCUUUCUUUUCUGUACCUCCCUGAUAAUCUGCCUCCCCCUGCCCCCUUCAGGCCACAAGCUCAAUUACAGUAUGCAGAGACUGGACAGAUUAGAAUGGCAAAGCACAAGCCAAAAUUGUUCUAGGUCUGCACUGCACGAGAUAAGAUUCUAUUGUCUCUGACUCUACCCUGCCCUUUGAUCUAACUGGAAAGUUUGUAGAACUCGGGUCAUUUUAAAGUUUUAACUGCCUUUCUUUCCCAGAUAACUGUUGGUGGAAGACAGUAUAUUAUUCUGUAAUGUAUUCAUUUAGACAUAUUAUUGUUCUGUGGAUAGUAAAUAAUAACACGUUGACCCGAAGAUUAUUUCAGUGAAGGAUUAACUUCAGGUGUCCAGAGCUAGGGUAAGAUUGACAGAUAGUCUAUAUGUUAGUACAUACCCGCGGUACAUUGAUAAGGUAAUUAAUAACCCAAUCUUAUUUUCCUUUGGUCUCUUUAUAAGUAUCGCGAGUACCAUGUUGUUGAAUAGGGACUGCAUGAAUGAAUGUCUAAUGAAGACAUCACUGCUCACUUUGCUAGGCCUAGCAGCUGGCUAAAUAUGUUAGCUGAUCUUUUUCCAUUUGUCACCUUUGCUUUGUAGGUCUCUAGUAUGAUAUGACAGGUGCAGUUACGGUUCUCUUUCAGUAAAUUUGUUCAGCAUCUCUAUGGGUUAUGCACUCUUGUGCAGACUAUUUCACAAAGCUCUUUUUAAUCACGCCGUUAGGCCAAUGAGCUGAGAUGUGGGAGGGCCCGGCAACAGUCAGAAUUGUUUCAUCCAGCGAAUACGGUGUAUAUAAAAAACGGAUCAGCGGGUCUAUCUUAGAAUAUCAAACUGUUCUGGGUGUUGUUUUGUCUAGGCCAGGAGGGCAAUUUUACACCCCCUUCUUGCUCAGUGGGCUUUGGAAGUUUGCUCUUUGAAAAAAUGCAUGUUAGCAGUCUUGCCCUACACGAGAUUAGAACAAAAUGAAAAAUAUAUACACUGCAUACACACGUAGGAGAACCUUUAAUAUGUAAAUGCCAGUGAUCAGGUCGGCCAGUCGGCCAGUGAUGCCUGAUCACUGUCAUUUACGUAUUAAAGGCUCUCCUAAGUAGGGGAGGGGAGAAUUGCAUGGGGGAGCCGCAAAUGCUGGGGCUUCUGUGGUCAGUUUGUGGCAAUUUAAGGUGACCCAUUCAUCCAGAAAUCCCUCUUUUCGUGCAGUGAUAGAUGCUAGCUUAUUCUCCCCGCUGUCUGUAGCCAUGCGUAAUUUGCGAUUAUUAACAGGGGGGCGAUAUCUCUCCUAUGCUUUCACACGAGGGUGGCAUCUUAUAGGCUUGACAUCACAUAAAAAGUCUCGUAGUAGACCAUUACAAAGGCUACUUAGAAAUAGCCAGAGAACGACAUUUGCCCGUGGAGUAACGACACCUUCAUGUCCGCCGCCUACAUGGACUGGCGGCAUCCUCUGUCCAUGGUGCUGAAAUCGCGGCACUACUCUAUGUGAAGCACAUUACAGUUUCAUGAGGGGAUACAGGCUACAAAAAGACCAAACUAUACAAUAAGCUACUGUUGUACCUUUUGCCGACAUAAUAAGAAAUAGCCUAAUGUGGUCACUGUGAGUGGCAUGGCGUCGAACGUUUCCUACUCGAAGGUGCAAAAUAAUAACUCAUAGCACCCAAGUAAAAUGUCACUGUUGUAAAAACAGAGAUUUUGAUAGGAAGGUGAGAUGGGACAGCCAUGUAAUCGUACAUAUCAUCAGGAUCAGAUAUCAUCAUCAGAUAUCAUCAUAUCAUCAGUACAUUCCUCAGUAGAUACGGUCAUUCUCUCGGGCAUUUGCAGCUGGUGCAGCCCUAUUAUUGCAUUGUGAGCUGUCAACGUGUGUGGUUUUAGGCGAAAUGUGCACUGGCAGCACUCCUCGUUAAGUUUGGGAGAUGUCUUUAGUGGGAGUAUUUGAAUGUGUAAAACACGUUGAACACAGUGCUGGACAUUUUCAGUAUGCUUGGGGAAGUAGAUCGAUAGCCUAUUACUUGUAUGCAUCUUUUUUCACCUUCGUGCUUGCAUCAGCAUGCCAACGUUACAUGCCAAACUAACAUCAAUGUGGUGCUGACAUUUUACUGAAUAGCCUAAUAUCUCUACCAAAUCGGGUGUAAAUUGAAUUGAAUUGAAGUCUCCCAACAUGUCUUGCCAUUCCAUGAGGGAUACGGACAAUUCAGCACACACGCGGCGAAAGCGUUCCUUUGAUAGAGAGGAUGUCUGCGCCUGUGUAAAGUGCUGCGCGUACGCAUUGGUUAAGUUGUAGGUUUUACAAAUUAUGGUAACCACGCCAGGCCCAAAUUACUAACAGGAAAAGAGGGACAAUGACAAAUAGGAGAUGAAAUCGCCAGGAAGACAGGGAUGAUCUUUCUCGCUGAACAAUUUUGUCUGUACUGUGUGGCCUGAGCAGAAGAGCAUGAGGGCAAGAGCGAGUCUCGCCUCGUUUUGUGUAGGCUAUAGGAUUACCACACGAAAUCUACCGCUGGACCAGCUGGCUAUCAGCAAUUCCCGCAAGAAUCAAACCUGUUUGAAAUCCUGCUCACCCGUCGUGAGUGUAUCGCAUAGGCUAGUUGAAACAUUGCUACGACUCAAUUUGGCACACUGUCCACUCCAUGCACAAAAGACACAACGUUGGAGCGGAGGGGAUUCGUUUAGGCUACUGACAGACACGAGGCACGAAGUAAUCGUCAACUUCAGGGGGGGAAAAAAGGAAAUGUGGAUAUGCUACGUAGAGAAAGAGGUUCUCUCUCUCUAGCAGUUCAAAACCAGUGUGUCCUAUGCUUCGGAAGCAUAUCUCUUUUUUUUUUUUAUUCGACAAAAGCGAAGCGCCAUACAGUCUAGGCUACAGCAUAGCAGCGUGCAGGGGAAUAAACUCCAAAAAAGUCCAGUAACAUCAACACAGCCUAAUUGAAGCGACAUGGAUCAAUGACAAUCUUCACAUAGCCUACUGUGCGAACGAAAUGUGGGUGCUUGGGACAAUAAAACGCUCGAUAGUGGGCCAAUGCGAUGAGUAGCCUUGGCUAUGUGAUGGGGAGGGGGAUUCUUUUGGCUACACCUCCAUCGGCCUUUACCCAACUCACGACUCUGGUGUGCGACCGAAUAUCUCCACAAUGAGGGAAAAAAAUGAAAAUAUAAAAUUAGAUAUGCUAUAUGCACAAAUAACCUUUUGAGUUGUUAGGUUAACAAUGUUAUUUUAUCGCCUAAUGAAGCGCUACGAAAAAAAGCUCUGGCGCACUCUCCGGCGCUGCUGCGGCGCAUUGACAUGGACAAAAUAUUCACAAGCAAGUUUUUUUUUAAUGAUAAAACAGUUCGCACAAGGGGAUAUAUGGUGGAUACCGCCACUGUUUAAGGCCGUUUAACUUAAAUUAAAAUUAUAGGUCUAGAAAGGUGCUCUUAGUAUCUGGCCUAUUCUCUGCAGUGCUUCUUCAAUUGUCACUGUAGAAUGCAGGGACUUCCUUUACCAGCGUCAGAUUCUAAAUGUGUGUUUAAAAGAAGCAGCCGUUAUUUUUGACAAUGUUUUCUUAAAAAUAUUGUUUAUGCAAUAAUUUGUUUUUUUUGUACAUAUCUCACAUUCAAAUUGUUGUAUUGAUGUUCUUAAAAUGAGAUUUAGUGGUGUUUAACCUGCAAGGUACACUUUAAAGGAGCACUUCUGUCAAUUUCAAUAUGUUGUUGUAUUGCUCACGCUACCCUUGACUUGUCAGUACCCAGUGAUGCUGCAUUUUUUGGCUCAGCCCUUUCCGAGAUCUGAGCUAUUCUAAUGGGGGCAGAUUUUGUUUACAUUUUAAAAAAUUCUUAACAUAGGCCUACUUCAAAUAUUUUCCCAAAAGGUAUCGCUGGGAAUAAAUCAAGAUAUUUUUUUCAAAUGUAAACAAACUGCCCUCAUUACAAUGACCAGGAUCUAGGAAAAGGCUGGAAAAUUCUCAAGGACCGACAAGUCCAGGGUAGUGUGAGCAUUGCAACUGUAUGUUGAAAUUGGCUGAAGUUAUCCUUUAAUAUUUUGUUGCACACCCUUAGACAGCAAUGAGAGCCUCCGUGUUUGUAUUUAUCAACAAGCUUCUUGCACUUCUCUGGUGGUAUUUCCCCCCACUCUUUCUUUGCAAUAUGUUUAUCAUCUUGACGCGGUACUGGAUUCUUUCUCCUAAUGUCCUAGUGUCAGUUUCACAGAUUUUUCCAAAAUUCCGUGCUCCUAGACACAGAAUUGUUUUCAGUGAUGGACACACAGACAUGCUUUCUAUAUAUUCCAACAACUCUAUGUUUACACAGUCUUGGGUUUUCUCAGGAUAUUUCUAAUUUCAAAUAUAUUUUUCUCAAAAAGCAUUUCAUACUGACAGGUUAGGGUUAGGCCAGGAUUGUUUUGGUCUGGGCACAGCUAGUACAUUUUUGUUUAUUACAUGAACUUGAUAGCCUAUCAACCAAAUGGAAGAGGUAUUUCUCAAAAACAUGUCUUUACUGACAAGGAUUAUUUUUGUCAGGACAUAACUUAAACUUUAUUUAGUAUUAAAAUUUGGUAUCUAUUUUCUAAUGACAGACUUAACACAGUGCUGUGGGAAUAUAGAAAGCACUUCCGUGAGUCAAUCACGGAAAACAAUUCCGUGUCCAAAAUCUGUGAAACUGACACGAAUUUCGGGUGCAAAAAAUCUGUAUCUAUUCCACGCAAUUCUGCUAGAACAGGCUGUCUUUUCAGGUGACCUUUUAUUAUUUGGAGGUUUUGUUUUUGAAAAUAAUAGUAUUUCUGGUGUUCCCAGACAGCUCCUCAGUCUUCACCUUUGUAAAAGAGGAGCAAGAUGUAACAGGUUGCUUUUUAAAACACAAAUAUCAUCAUUCAUUAGCUAAUUCCUGUUCUAUGGACAAAAUCAAUGUAUCAAAGGUGAUUCCCAUUUGUUAUUUACCAUAUUUAAGUCAAAUUAGGUAUCCACAGUCAUAUCCAAUGAAGUGUGCCAAUACCAGUGACUCAAGGAGUUUUACGUUUUCCACUUUUCCCUGUCACAGUUUAGUUUUUAAUGUUGUUGAUCAUUUAUAUAUUUUGUAUCAACCACAAGCUACCUGUAUCUAUAGUACAAUCGAGAUUGACCUUAUUAUUUGUUAUCUGGAGAUAUGUCCCAUUAUGUGCUUAAACUUCAAUACUAACUGGCAGCGCUGCAUGAAAUUGAUUAUGAUAUUGAAUUGAGAGAUGAACUGUUCAGUGUGUGUGUAAUGCUUGAAAUUAUGGGUUGAGGCAGAGAAAUUCACUUAAAACAAUCAAUUGAAACGAGGCCAGAGUUGUUUGUUGCAUUUUCAUUUAUUAUACAUCACUACAAGCCUGAUUAUGAUCGACUUUCAAAUCUCUUCAAGACUUGGUCCCAAAGGGCAUGGUUGACCCACCUCCCUUGGUUAGCUACUGGUUGUUUACUUCCCGACAAAGUGGGAGGAGUUCCCAAUUCUUUAGGAGCUCAGAAACAAUAUUGUAUUGCUCCUGGUUUGACAAGAAGCAGCGCUGAAGGUGUUGUGUCACUAGGAUGGCACAGCCUGGCUACAUCACUACAGGAACCUCAGAGGCCAGAACGCAAGGAUUUAGGAGAUC